UAGGCUCAGAGCGAACGUUUGCGGCGGGCCUAACACAUGCAAGUCGAACGGGCUAGCAAUAGUCAGUGGCGCACGGGUGCGUAACACGUAGGUAAUCAACCCCUUGGUUCGGGAUAACGUUCUGAAAGGAGCGCUAAUACCGGACGCGUCUUCGGGAGCUUCGGCUCCUGUCGAGAAAGACCCGCAAGGGUUGCCGAGGGACGAGCCUGCGGCCCAUCAGCUAGUUGGCGAGGUAAUAGCUCACCAAGGCGAAGACGGGUAGCUGGUCUGAGAGGAUGAUCAGUCACACUGGAACUGAGACACGGUCCAGACUCCUACGGGAGGCAGCAGUGGGGAAUAUUGCGCAAUGGGCGAAAGCCUGACGCAGCCACGCCGCGUGAGCGAUGAAGGCCUUCGGGUCGUAAAGCUCUGUGGGGAGAGACGAAGAAAGCCUGUGAAGAGCAGGCCUUGACGGUAUCUCCUUAGCAAGCACCGGCUAACUCCGUGCCAGCAGCCGCGGUAAUACGGAGGGUGCGAACGUUGCUCGGAAUCAUUGGGCGUAAAGCGCACGUAGGCGGCGGCGUAAGCGGGAUGUGAAAGCCCAGGGCUCAACCCUGGAAGUGCAUCCCGAACUGCGUCGCUUGAAUCUCGGAGGGGGACAGAGAAUUCCCGGUGUAGAGGUGAAAUUCGUAGAUAUCGGGAGGAAUACCAGUGGCGAAGGCGCUGUCCUGGACGAAGAUUGACGCUGANGUGCGAAAGCGUGGGGAGCAAACAGGAUNAGAUACCCUGGUAGUCCACGCUGUAAACGAUGAGUGCUGGACGGUGGAGGANUUGACCCCUUCGCUGUCGAAGCUAACGCGUUAAGCACUCCGCCUGGGGANUACGGUCGCAAGACUAAAACUCAAAGGAAUUGACGGGGGCCCGCAC
rnacentral:rRNA from 1 species